rnacentral:lncRNA from 1 species
GCACAAGGCACUAAUAAUAACAGAAAGACUCCUGGAGUGAAGCCAGGAUAUCAGAACUAUGUGCUGUCUUUUCCACUUGCAAGCUUUGCUCCUGGGUAAGUCCCUUCAGCUUUUGGGGUGUCAAUCAUCUCCCUAUUACCAAAUGCAGGGAGGGAGAUGAGCCUUGGUGAUUUCCAAGACUCCUUUAUUUUUGUACACUCCUGAGUUUAUGUUUAACUCUCACAAUGUAUUUAAACUUUGUGCUGUGGAGUGAGUGUGUGGAGGGAAAGCUUGGGGGAUGUAGAAAGAAGAAGAGGCAGAAGGAAGAAUCCCUGUCUUUGGAAACAGAAAAGAUGAAAAUAUGCACAUAUGACAUCAUUGGAGAAACUUGCAAUUCAGCAUCUAACCCCAAGGGAGCUCAGGUAGUACAGCUUCUUAUAGGAGGAGGAGGAAGCAAGGAUGGGGGAAUAUAAAUGAGGGAGUGAGGAAUGGUGAGGGGUGGGCUAAAGGAACGGAGAGAGGAGUGAAUUCAGCAAGCAUGACCUCAGAAACAGAAACCUUCCUGAUUUCACUCCCUUUCACAGGUCAGGGUCCUCUUUCCUGUGUUGGUCACAUCUUCAGAUGCCUUUGGGGCUAGAUGAACAGUCGGCUUGUGGGUGGAAGCUGACAUGAUUAAAGGCUGACUUUAGCGGGCUUUAACAUACAGACCGCUCGGACCACAGUGUCUGGGAGCGUGUGUGGGAGGAUGCAGAUCGGAACCUGUUUAUGCUGCUCUCCAAACCCCACUGGGAAGAAUGACUAUGGCUCCAGCCCGUCCUCCCAGAGCUUCUUCAUUCCCCUUCUUUAGUGCUGGAGGGUCCUGAUGAGUGGCGACCUUCUCAGCGAGGACAGACAACCACACGGGUUCCUACUUCACGACCAGGGUCACCAUGGAGACAUUUCUCAUUGGAUCAGCUUAUUAACCACAAGCCACUCACUCUUUUCCGCUGACUAUGCUGUGAACUGGCUAAUGUCUUUGGAUGGCUGUGUCUCUGAAGAGGACAGUGCUGUGAACAGGGAUAGCUGCUGCUACCUCCUUGACUUUCAGGUUUGGGGACGGAGGGGCAUCCUCAAUAUCCCUGUUGGAUUCUACAGCAGCUGUGUAGAUAAGCACAAGCCUUCUAUCCUGG